GAUAUCAACUGAAAAAGUCAUCAACAACAAAGUUGAAUAACUCAUCAAGAUUUAGGACUUUUAUUUGGGUCAUUUCUUCAUACGACAAAGUGACAGUAACAUUGUUCACAAAAUUAACAUAUCUCUUGUCUGGUUUUAUAAACUAUAACACAUAUAUGUAAAAUUUGUGAAUAAUAUUGCUGACAUUUUAUCGGAUGAAGAAAUACAAAAAUAAAAGUUCUAGAUCUUGAUGAGUUAUUCAACUUGUUGUUGAUGACUUUUUCAAGUUGAAAUC
rnacentral:pre_miRNA from 1 species